rnacentral:rRNA from 2 species
ACCACGACUCUCGACAAUGGAUAUCUCGGCUCUC